GACGAACGCUGGCGGCGUGCCUAAUACAUGCAAGUUGAGCGCUGAAGGUUGGUACUUGUACCAACUGGAUGAGCAGCGAACGGGUGAGUAACGCGUGGGGAAUCUGCCUUUGAGCGGGGGACAACAUUUGGAAACGAAUGCUAAUACCGCAUAAAAACUUUAAACACAAGUUUUAAGUUUGAAAGAUGCAAUUGCAUCACUCAAAGAUGAUCCCGCGAUGUAUUAGCUAGUUGGUGAGGUAAAGGCUCACCAAGGCGAUGAUACAUAGCCGACCUGAGAGGGAGAUCGGCCACAUUGGGACUGAGACACGGCCCAAACUCCCACGGGAGGCAGCAGGAGGGAAUCUUCGGAAAAGGACGAAAGUCUGACCGAGCAACGCCGCGGGAGUGAAGAAGGGUUUCGGAUCGGAAAACUCUGUUGGUAGAGAAGAACGUUGGUGAGAGUGGAAAGCUCAUCAAGUGACGGUAACUACCCAGAAAGGGACGGCUAACUACGUG
rnacentral:rRNA from 1 species